AUUGAACGCUGGCGGCAGGCCUAACACAUGCAAGUCGAGCGCGAAAGUUCUUCGGAAUGAGUAAAGCGACGGACGGGUGAGUAAUACAUGGGAAUCUGCCUGGUAGUGGGGGACAACGUUUCGAAAGGAACGCUAAUACCGCAUACGCCCUACGGGGGAAAGGGGGGGAUCGCAAGACCUCUCGCUAUCAGAUGAGCCCA
rnacentral:rRNA from 1 species